ensembl:misc_RNA
CUGAAUGCAAGGGGCCAGAUUAGUACCACCAUAUAGCCACAGAGCUGUCACAGUGUAGGCUUCCUCACACUGUCCCUCUGAUGUGCAUUAACCCUGAGCUGGAGAAUCUAUCUCUUGGAAGUACUUGAGCUCAUGUUAGUCCAUCACCUCUCCGCUAAG